rnacentral:rRNA from 1 species
GACGAACGCUGGCGGCGUGCCUAAUACAUGCAAGUCGAACGCUGAAGGAGGAGCUUGCUCUUCUGGAUGAGUUGCGAACGGGUGAGUAACGCGUAGGUAACCUGCCUGGUAGCGGGGGAUAACUAUUGGAAACGAUAGCUAAUACCGCAUAACAGUAGAUGUUGCAUGACAUUUACUUAAAAGGUGCAAUUGCAUCACUACCAGAUGGACCUGCGUUGUAUUAGCUAGUUGGUGGGGUAACGGCUCACCAAGGCGACGAUACAUAGCCGACCUGAGAGGGUGAUCGGCCACACUGGGACUGAGACACGGCCCAGACUCCUACGGGAGGCAGCAGUAGGGAAUCUUCGGCAAUGGACGGAAGUCUGACCGAGCAACGCCGCGGGAGUGAAGAAGGGUUUCGGAUCGUAAAGCUCUGUUGUAAGAGAAGAACGAGUGUGAGAGUGGAAAGUUCACACUGUGACGGUAGCUUACCAGAAAGGGACGGCUAACUACGUG